UACGUAGGUGGCAAGCGUUGUCCGGAAUUACUGGGCGUAAAGGGCGUGUAGGCGGCGAUUUAAGUCAGAUGUGAAAGAUCAGGGCUUAACCCUGGAGGUGCAUUUGAGACUGGAUGGCUUGAGGACCGGAGAGGGCAGUGGAAUUCCCAGUGUAGCGGUGAAAUGCGUAGAUAUUGGGAGGAACACCAGUGGCGAAGGCGACUGCCUGGACGGCACCUGACGCUGAGGCGCGAAAGCUAGGGGAGCAAACGGG
rnacentral:rRNA from 1 species